rnacentral:rRNA from 1 species
UACGUAGGGUGCGAGCGUUAAUCGGAAUUACUGGGCGUAAAGCGUGCGCAGGUCGGUUUUUUAAAGACAGGCGUGAAAUCCCCGGGCUUAACCUGGGAAUGGCGCUUGUGACUGGAAGGCUAGAGUAUGGCAGAGGGGGGUGGAAUUCCACGUGUAGCAGUGAAAUGCGUAGAGAUGUGGAGGAACACCGAUGGCGAAGGCAGCCCCCUGGGCCGAAUACUGACGCUCAUGCACGAAAG